GACGAACGCUGGCGGCGUGCUUAACACAUGCAAGUCGAACGGAAAGGCCUGCUUUCCCUUGUGGAUUGCGGGUACUCGAGUGGCGAACGGGUGAGUAACACGUGAGUGAUCUGCCCCCAACUUGGGUAUAAGCCUGGGAAACUGGGUCUAAUUCCCGAUAGGACUGCAGGGUGGUGCCUGUGGUGGAAAACGAUUUUCUAGUGGUUGGGGAUGAGCUCGCGGCCUAUCAGCUUGUUGGUGGGGUAAUGGCCUACCGAGGCGGCGACGGGUAGCCGGCCUGGGAGGGUGGGCGGCCACAUUGGGACUGAGAUACGGCCCAGACUCCUACGGGAGGCAGCAGUGGGGAAUAUUGCACAAUGGGCGGAAGCCUGAGGCAGCGACGCCGCGUGGGGGAUGACGGCCUUCGGGUGGUAAACUCCUUUCGACCGCGAGGAAGCCACCUGGUUGGAAGGGUGGUGACGGUAGUGGUAGAAGAAGCACCGGCUAACUACGUG
rnacentral:rRNA from 1 species